rnacentral:rRNA from 1 species
CCUACGGGAGGCAGCAGUGAGGAAUAUUGGUCAAUGGACGAGAGUCUGAACCAGCCAAGUCGCGUGAAGGACGAAGGUGCCAAGCAUUGUAAACUUCUUUUGUCAAGGGACAAAAUCAGGCUCGAGAGCCUGACCGAGGGUACUUGAAGAAAAAGCAUCGGCUAACUCCGUGCCAGCAGCCGCGGUAAUACGGAGGAUGCGAGCGUUAUCCGGAUUUAUUGGGUUUAAAGGGUUCGUAGGCGGACUGUUAAGUCAGCGGUAAAAGCCCGGGGCUAACACCCGGCGAGCCGUUGAAACUGGCUGUCUUGAGAUGUCGAGAGGUAUGCGGAAUGCGCAGUGUAGCGGUGAAAUGCUUAGAUAUUGCGCAGAACUCCGAUUGCGAAGGCAGCAUACCGGCGGCGAUCUGACGCUGAGGCACGAAAGCGUGGGUAUCGAACAGGAUUAGAUACCCGGGUAGUC